UUUCGGGAUGGACAAACUGGUAAAGUCACUAGGCUUUGACCCUAGGUUUUGGAGGUUCGACCCCUUCUCCCGAAGUCAAU
rnacentral:tRNA from 1 species